rnacentral:rRNA from 1 species
GAUGAACGCUAGCGGCAGGCCUAACACAUGCAAGUCGAGGGGUAGAGGAAGCUUGCUUCCUUGAGACCGGCGCACGGGUGCGUAACGCGUAUGCAAUCUACCUUUUACAGAGGGAUAGCCCAGAGAAAUUUGGAUUAAUACCUCAUAGUAUCUUUGCCUGGCAUCGGGUGAUUAUUAAAGUUCCAACGGUAAAAGAUGAGCAUGCGUCCUAUUAGCUAGAUGGUAAGGUAACGGCUUACCAUGGCAACGAUAGGUAGGGGUCCUGAGAGGGAGAACCCCCACCCUGGUACUGAGACACGGACCAGACUCCUACGGGAGGCAGCAGUGAGGAAUAUUGGUCAAUGGACGGAAGUCUGAACCAGCCAUGCCGCGUGCAGGAAGACGGUCCUCUGGAUUGUAAACUGCUUUUGUUAGGGAAGAAAAAAGGUCUUUCUAGAUCGUCUGACGGUACCUUAUGAAUAAGCACCGGCUAACUCCGUGCCAGCCGCCGCAGUAAGAC